AGUUUGAUCCUGGCUCAGGAUGAACGCUAGCUACAGGCUUAACACAUGCAAGUCGAGGGGCAGCAUGGUCUUAGCUUGCUAAGGCCGAUGGCGACCGGCGCACGGGUGAGUAACACGUAUCCAACCUGCCGUCUACUCUUGGACAGCCUUCUGAAAGGAAGAUUAAUACAAGAUGGCAUCAUGAGUCCGCAUGUUCACAUGAUUAAAGGUAUUCCGGUAGACGAUGGGGAUGCGUUCCAUUAGAUAGUAGGCGGGGUAACGGCCCACCUAGUCUUCGAUGGAUAGGGGUUCUGAGAGGAAGGUCCCCCACAUUGGAACUGAGACACGGUCCAAACUCCUACGGGAGGCAGCAGUGAGGAAUAUUGGUCAAUGGGCGAGAGCCUGAACCAGCCAAGUAGCGUGAAGGAUGACUGCCCUAUGGGUUGUAAACUUCUUUUAUAAAGGAAUAAAGUCGGGUAUGGAUACCCGUUUGCAUGUACUUUAUGAAUAAGGAUCGGCUAACUCCGUGCCAGCAGCCGCGGUAAUACGGAGGAUCCGAGCGUUAUCCGGAUUUAUUGGGUUUAAAGGGAGCGUAGAUGGAUGUUUAAGUCAGUUGUGAAAGUUUGCGGCUCAACCGUAAAAUUGCAGUUGAUACUGGAUAUCUUGAGUGCAGUUGAGGCAGGCGGAAUUCGUGGUGUAGCGGUGAAAUGCUUAGAUAUCACGAAGAACUCCGAUUGCGAAGGCAGCCUGCUAAGCUGCAACUGACAUUGAGGCUCGAAAGUGUGGGUAUCAAACAGGAUUAGAUACCCUGGUAGUCCACACGGUAAACGAUGAAUACUCGCUGUUUGCGAUAUACUGCAAGCGGCCAAGCGAAAGCGUUAAGUAUUCCACCUGGGGAGUACGCCGGCAACGGUGAAACUCAAAGGAAUUGACGGGGGCCCGCACAAGCGGAGGAACAUGUGGUUUAAUUCGAUGAUACGCGAGGAACCUUACCCGGGCUUAAAUUGCAGAUGAAUUACGGUGAAAGCCGUAAGCCGCAAGGCAUCUGUGAAGGUGCUGCAUGGUUGUCGUCAGCUCGUGCCGUGAGGUGUCGGCUUAAGUGCCAUAACGAGCGCAACCCUUGUUGUCAGUUACUAACAGGUUCCGCUGAGGACUCUGACAAGACUGCCAUCGUAAGAUGUGAGGAAGGUGGAAGG
rnacentral:rRNA from 1 species